GGACCGUGGCUCAGCGGUAGAGCGCUCCCCUAGCAUGGGUGGGACAUGGGUUCGAUCCUCAACACCA
rnacentral:tRNA from 1 species